CCCUUAGAUGUUCUGGGCCGCACGCGCGCUACACUGAUGCAUUCAACAAGCCUAGCCUUGACCGAGAGGUCCGGGUAAUCUUUGAAACUGCAUCGUGAUGGGGCUAGAUUAUUGCAAUUAUUAAUCUUCAACGAGGAAUGCCUAGUAAGCGUGAUUCAUCAAAUCGCGUUGAUUACGUCCCUGCCCUUUGUACACACCGCCCGUCGCACCUACCGAUUGAAUGUUUCGGUGAAGAUUCCGGAUAGGACUUUUUUGAUUUAUUUCAAUUUUGUCUUAAAAGCUAUCUAAACCUCAACAUUUAGAGGAAGGUGAAGUCGUAACA
rnacentral:rRNA from 1 species